rnacentral:piRNA from 1 species
UCCUGGAGUCCUGAGGGCAGAACACAUGA